rnacentral:rRNA from 1 species
GUGUCAGCCGCCGCGGUAAGACGAACCACCCAAACGUUAUUCGGAAUUACUGGGCUUAAAGGGUGCGUAGGCGGCGUGGAAAGUUGGGUGUGAAAUCCCUCGGCUCAACCGAGGAACUGCGCUCAAAACUACCGUGCUCGAGGAAGACAGAGGUAAGCGGAACUUCGGGUGGAGCGGUGAAAUGCGUUGAUAUCCGAAGGAACACCGGUGGCGAAAGCGGCUUACUGGGUCUUUUCUGACGCUGAUGCACGAAAGCCAGGGGAGCAAACGGGAUUAGAAACCCCCGUAGUCC